rnacentral:rRNA from 1 species
AUUGAACGCUGGCGGCAGGCUUAACACAUGCAAGUCGAGCGAGCGGCGGACGGGUGAGUAAUGUAUGGGGACUGCCCGAUAGAGGGGGAUAACUACUGGAAACGGUAGCUAAUACCGCAUACUAUCGGAUAACCCAUAUGGGAUUAGCUUGUAGGUGAGGUAACGGCUCACCUAGGCGACGAUCCCUAGCUGGUCUGAGAGGAUGAUCAGCCAGACUGGGACUGAGACACGGCCCAGACUCCUACGGAGGCAGCAGUGGGGAAUAUUGCACAGUGGGCGCAAGCCUGAUGCAGCCAUGACGCGUGUAUGAAGAAGGCCUUCGGGUUUUAAAGUACUUUCAGUCGGGAGGCGUUACCGACAGAAGAGGCACCGGCUAACACCGUGCCAGCAGCCGCGGUAAUUC